rnacentral:rRNA from 1 species
CCCAGACUCCUACGGGAGGCAGCAGUAGGGAAUAUUGCUCAAUGGGGGAAACCCUGAUGCAGCAACGCCGCGUGAGUGAAGAAGCGUUUCGGCGCGUAAAGCUCUGUCAGCGGGGAAGAAAGAAGACGGUACCCGACCAAGAAGCCCCGGCUAACUACGUGCCAGCAGCCGCGGUAAUACGUAGGGGGCGAGCGUUAUCCGGAAUUACUGGGUGUAAAGGGAGCGUAGACGGCGAAGUAAGCCUGAAGUGGAAGCCCGCGGCCCAACCGCGGAACUGCUUUGGGAACUGUUUAGCUGGAGUAUGGGAGGGGUAAGCGGAAUUCCUGGUGUAGCGGUGAAAUGCGUAGAUAUCAGGAGGAACAUCAGUGGCGAAGGCGACUAUCUGGCACAUAACUGACGCUGAGGAGCGAAAGCGUGGGUAGCAAACAGGAUUAGAUACCCGAGUA